rnacentral:lncRNA from 1 species
AAAAGGAAUGAAGAUGAAGAGAUCGACAAUGAAUAGAAAGGAAUCAGAAUGCUCAACUUUGGCGGUGAAUAGUACUUGAAUAGAUGAACACAAAUGAAUGGUGCAGAAAAUGGCUAAUGAGAGAAAACAUUAUGUGAAACCAUAGAGGUGUGGGGAGUGCGUGCAAGGCGAAUAAAACAAUGGUGUGAGAAGAUAGUGGCAUUUAAGUAGUGCGAAGAGGGCGACAACCACUAGCUCAAAAAAGACCUUUAACCCUUUACACCUCCAACCCUCGAAUAUCCAACAUAGAAAAUGACCGAUGGCAUUUCUGUAAAUAAAACAACUAUUUAGACGUCGGCUCUGGGAGACAGACGUCUAAAUGCUCAUAUACGUUGGCUCCCCCAAAUGGACGCUAAAAUUAAACGAAAAAAGAAAAAAACAUUAAU